UGCGUGGCAUACGGCUCAGUAACACGUAGUCAACAUGCCCAGGGGACGUGGAUAACCUCGGGAAACUGAGGAUAAACCACGAUAGGCCAAGAUUUCUGGAAUGAAUCAUGGCUGAAAUCUACAUGGCCCUUGGAUUGGACUGCGGCCGAUCAGGCUGUUGGUGAGGUAAUGGCCCACCAAACCUAUAACCGGUACGGGCUCUGAGAGGAGGAGCCCGGAGAUGGGCACUGAGACAAGGGCCCAGGCCCUAUGGGGCGCAGCAGGCGCGAAACCUCUGCAAUAGGCGAAAGCUUGACAGGGUUACUCUGAGUGAUGUCCGUUAAGGGCAUCUUUUGGCACCUCUAAAAAUGGUGUAGAAUAAGGGGUGGGCAAGUCUGGUGUCAGCCGCCGCGGUAAUACCAGCACCCCGAGUGGUCGGGACGAUUAUUGGGCCUAAAGCAUCCGUAGCCGGUUCUGCAAGUCUUCCGUUAAAUCCACCUGCUCAACAGAUGGGCUGCGGGGGAUACUACAGGGCUAGGAGGCGGGAGAGGCAAGCGGUACUCGGUGGGUAGGGGUAAAAUCCUCUGAUCCACUGAAGACCACCAGUGGCGAAGGCGGCUUGCCAGAACGCGCUCGACGGUGAGGGAUGAAAGCUGGGGGAGCAAACCGGAUUAGAUACCCGGGUAGUCC
rnacentral:rRNA from 1 species